AUCCUUUUCUGGUUCAUAAGCAUGAUGAUUGGGUGUUUAAGCGGCUGUGUGACAUGUGCCUCCCUUAAACCUUGUUACGAUGUCGGCACAUUACCCUUCUGACG